AUUGAACGCUGGCGGCAGGCUUAACACAUGCAAGUCGAGCGGAGAUGAGGUGCUUGCACCUUAUCUUAGCGGCGGACGGGUGAGUAAUGCUUAGGAAUCUGCCAUUUAGUGGGGGACAACAUCUCGAAAGGGAUGCUAAUACCACAUACGUCCUACGGGAGAAAGCAGGGGAUCUUCGGACCUUGCGCUAAAUGAUGAGCCUAAGUCGGAUUAGCUAGUUGGUGGGGUAAAGGCCUACCAAGGCGACGAUCUGUAGCGGGUCUGAGAGGAUGAUCCGCCAAACGGGGACUGAGACACGGCCCAGACUCCUACGGGAGGCAGCAGUGGGGAAUAUUGGACAAUGGGCGGAAGCCUGAUCCAGCCAUGCCGCGUGUGUGAAGAAGGCCUUAUGGUUGUAAAGCACUUUAAGCGAGGAGGAGGCUACUUUAGUUAAUACCUAGAGAUAGUGGACGUUACUCGCAGAAUAAGCACCGGCUAACUCUGUGCCAGCCGCCGCAGUAAUAC
rnacentral:rRNA from 1 species